ensembl:processed_transcript RIKEN cDNA C430049B03 gene
GCUGGCUGCUCCCGCUCGCCUCUUGGGGUGCGCUCAGCUCCAGCCCAACUUCGCCAGCUCCGCCGGCUCCAGCACCGCUCCAGCCCGAUUCCAGCCCGGUUCCAGCCCAGCUCCAGCCCGGCUCCGGUUCUUCUCCGCCACGCCUCUCUGUCGACGCUGAGGAUCAGCUUCGCAGGAAAAUCCCAGAAACCUUUGCAAAAAGCUUACAAUGAAAUUUAAGAAGUUCUACGAUUUCGGCGCCAUUUUCGAGUGGAGUGAGAGUAUUGGAAAAGUUUUGCUCGAAGGUGACCGUCGACAGUUUUUUUUUUCUCCACAAUUCCGUGUCCAUGUAAAAAUGACUUGUAAUAUAACCAAGAAAAGACGGAAUUUUCGUUCCAACUUAAGGAGUGGGGCUGUUAUUAUUAAUGGCUUUAUUUAUCAUGACCUAAGAAAUGCAUUUGUUAGCACUGGAUCAUUAUCUGUUAUAUUAGGAAUUUUGUAUUUAGUUUAAUUACAUACUCUGUAUAUUUUAUUAAUUAAUAGGACCUAGCAAUCAUUGUACUAGUUUCGAAAAGCUGACAUAAUUUUAAAUGAAAAUACAGGAGAUUUGGCAACAUUACAUUUCUGUUUCUGUAUACAGAAUUUUUUUGCUUUCAAAAGCACUGUAGUUUUGUUGGUUUAGUUAUUAGGUUUGUGGUUACGGACUAAAGGAUGAUUUUUUGUGCUUUCCUGAAUGCUUUGUUUAAACAAGGAAAUGAAUGUAACUUAUUGC